rnacentral:misc_RNA from 1 species
CACACACGAGUUGCAGCCAACCCGCGGCGAACGAACACAUUGUCCCUCUCGGUGGGUCGUGGCGCCUCGCGGCGUCGCGGCCGGCCACCUCCCUUCGUCACGAGCUUCGUCACGAACGAACUCGCGGCGUCGGGUUUCCACGCGAUGCCUUCACCUUGACCGAAUGGCUGAGUCCCUCGACUUCAUGGGAGUGAGUUCCGUCCCCCUUGGCUGGCUGGCUGGCUGGCUUGCGAAGGGGGUCGGCGCUGGUUACCUUGCGAGUUGUGAAACGUAAUGCAA